CUGGGUUUAUCCCGCAGUGGCGGUGCAUUCCGCGGGGAAGAGACCUCUGGCCCCGCGUCUCUUCGUACAUGGGGCUGAGAGCUGCUCCCGGAGAGUGGGCGCCUUUCCGCGGCAAGUGGGUGGAAGGAGAGAGGGAGGGCAGGCGGGCCUGUAGGCCGUUCCCACUAAUCCCCGGCUUUGAGCUCGGCUACGCCUCCAGCAAAUGGCUCUCUCUCGAGGGUCGAUGGGCAGAUGUGUCCGCACUUGUCGUGGAGCUAGCACUGAGGUGAAACCAAUACUUCAAAUGUUUUGGAGAGAAGAUAAACUGACUCAACAAUGGGUGUAAAGGGACUCCAGCAGUUUGUGGAUCACAUCUGCCCAGCUGUGAAAGUAUGGGUAGACCUGAAGGAGAUGGCAGAGCAGUACAGGUGCUCCCAUCCUGGACGUUCUCCUGUUGUGAUUGUGGACACCUUGGCAUGUCUACGAUAUUGGUACACGUCAGGGGCAUGGGUGCACGGUGGUCAAUGGCGUGAGUAUUUAGAGAGCCUGAAAUCCUUUGUGAGAGCUUUCUCAGCAACCAGCAUAGAGCUCGUGUUUGUCUUUGAUGGGGUAAUAGAAGAGAAGAAAAGGGAUGAAUGGAUUAAACGACGUCUGAGAAAUAACAGAGAGAUUGCAACCAUCUUUCAGUACAUAAAAGCAACUGCCUGCCAACCAGGAAGAGAUAUGUUCUUCAUUCCAUCUGGACUGGCCACUUUCACUUGCUUUGCCUUAAAAUCAUUGGGCUUAAACGUCAUGGUUUCCCUGAAGGAGGCCGAUUAUGAGAUAGCUAGCUAUGCAAGGCUAAAUGACGGAAUGGCAAUUCUGAGCCAGGACACAGAUUUCCUCAUUUAUGACACUGUGCCAUACCUCUCUAUAAGUAAUCUUUCUCUGGAAAAGUUAACUACUGUCAUGUACUCUCGUGAAAACCUCUGUCAUGCUCUCAGGCUGCAGAUGAUGGACUUGCCACUUUUGGCCUGUCUUCUUGGUAAUGACAUUGUGUCUGAGAGCGUGGUGGGGAGACUGAAGAGCCGGUGCCUGGCUGAAUACUCGCUGGGUGGCCCAAAUGCAAGGCAGAGGAAGGAGAUGGUGGCGGCAGUGGCAUGUUACAUCUCCAGGGUGGACCAUUCACAUAGCGGCUUGAAAGAGGUGAAAAGAAACCUGCAACUCCACUCAGGUGAAAGUUUGCUAGAAAAGGGAGUGGAAUGUUACUUAAUGCCUGGGCAGAGCUCACCAUGGCUCCCCCUCAACAGAAUAUCUCCUGCGACUCCCCAGUGUGAGAUGCCCUUACACUCAGAUCUUAAGAUUUUACAGUUUGCAAGAGAGAAGCAUUUCAAAGCUGAGAGCUCUAUGGUUUAUAAGAUCCUGAGUACUGGAGAAGUUGACUGCAGCAACACAUUGGAGGACGACAUGGACCCAGACCUUCCUGGACAAGCAAUUGUUUACCGAUCUGCUCGGCAGUCCGUUUAUGGCAUUCUUCUAGCAGCUGAAUCAUAUGCCCAGCCUAAUUCUGCCACAUCAUGCCGUACCAUAAAGGAAUGGUUUGUAUAUCCAGGUAACCUGCUUCAGCAGCCAGAUCUUGUGCCAGCUCUACCACCAGAACUACCAGGAGGAAUUCCAGAUCUACAAACCUUGUGGCUAGCAGAAGGAUCAGUGGUUGAGGAAUUGCGCUACCGCACAUUUCUCGCGUGCUUUGGCAUACAGGAUUAUAUUGAGGAAUUUCAACAUCUGAAAGAUCCCACAGUUGCUGCCGUUUGCUGCCUGCUCGCCUAUAUCACACUGCAGGUAAGCACAUUAUCUCUGGAGGACCUGAAUGCAUAUUUGGCCCAGAUGCUAUGUAUUCAAGACAAGUCAGCUGACCAGCUCAGUCAGAUACAGGUGCCCCGUGUUGAUUCGCGAGCUGUGCACCUGGCUUCCCUUUUUAUACGGGGCCUGGCUAUGCUCAUUUCAAUUAACAGUGCUUGUGGCUUCCCAUUUAAGAUGGUCGAUCUGAUGCCUUGGGAGGUGUUUGAUGGGAAGCUUUUCCAUACAAAGUACCUGCAGUCUCACAGUGGAAGUACAAUGGAGGACCUCCUGGAAAAGAACGAUGUGAUGGUUCACAAGUUUCAGAAGCUAAAGGACCUCAUUAACACUGUAUGCGCAGGGAAGAACAGGAUUAUACAGAGCCAACCGCGGCCUCUUGUCCCAGGAAGAGGAAUGUCUGACUUCCAUGGUAGGGGCAGCCAUCACACUUCCCAGGGUGCACACUUCUCCCAUCGCCCAUGGUAUCAGGGACAACAUCCACAGCCUCGUUGGACCAACUCAGCUCAAAGAGUUUCAAGCAUUCAGGCUUGGAGAUGCCAGAAAUGACCAAGAGUGAAAAUGAAACAAUUUCACUACAUCAGAGAGUUAGAUACUACAGAGAAUUUGAAGAUACCAACAAUGAAAAUGAAGAUUUGGAGGAUGCAGUUGUCAAUAGCAUGGUAGAAGACCUCAAGUUCGGCCAGGGUUCUGCCACAGGAGACCACUGUAACCAUUUAGCUUCCAAGGUUCACAGCCUGAUUGGAGCUAGACAGAAUGUUAGAGGAGAGAAGACGAACGUUUUCCUGAAGGAGAGUGUAAUAUCGAUUUCCACUGGUUCAAUCAAUAAACUACCAGAAACAUUAAUUAUUGACUUAGCAUGUUAAAGACACUUUUUGUAUUGGACUGGCAGAGCAAUAAAUGAUUUAUGAAGUCUGAUGCAACUUUGACAACAUCUAUGCAAGUUAUCCAGUCACGUUCCCUGAUUUGCUAAAAGGUCAUUAACAUACUUUCCACUGUGCUCCUCUGCUGUCUCUUCUGGAAUUUUCCCUUUUUGUCACUGGUUUGAAUACUAACUACAUUAUCAGGUCCCAGAUUGGCAGCAACUUCAACCAUGUAACUGGUGAUGGAGCCGCUGAUAGAUUCAUUAACACAAAAACAAGAAUGCUCAGCAGCAGCUGUUGAGAGUGAAUCACAGUCAGGAUUUCAUUUCUAUGAUCUUUCACCUGCUUUGUUUCAGCUUUCCAACAUAUGCAGUGUUUUGCUUUUAAAUUGGUGGUCUUGCUUGUUAUCCAGGGAGUCCCGCCAGUCCUGAUGCACUAUUUGGAAGAAAAGCUCCUAUCCCAUUCUCUUUAUCAAAACAUAUAUGAAUGUAAUGCCAACUUUGGAGGAGUUUUUAAAGUAUUUUUAAGUCUAGUGAUUACAAGCUUGAAACUGUAUGUGGAUUGCCCAAAAGAACUUUCAAAAUACUCCCUUGAAUGCCAGAACUUUGACGAUAUCAAAUUAUGAGAGGCAUAGAGAGGUUGAAUGCACAUAGUCUUUUUCCUAAGUUUGGGGAAAUCAAAAACCAGACAACAGAUAUAAGGUGAGAAGGGAGAGAUUUAAUAGGAACCUGAGGAGUAACCAUUUCACCGAAAGGGCGAUGAAGUGGCCACUUUAAUAGAUGCACCUGCUCAUUAAUGCAAAUAUCUAAUCAGCCAGUCGUGUGGCUGCAACUCAGUGCAUAAAAAGCAUGCAGACAUGGUCAAGACGUUCAGUUGCUUUUCAGUCCAAGUGUCAGAAUGGGGAAGAAAUGUGAUUAAGUGACUUUGACCAUGGAAUGAUGUUGGUGCCAGACAGGGUUGUUUGAGUAUUUGAGAAGCUGCUGAUCCCCUGGGGUUUUCAUGCACAACAGUCUCUAGAGUUUGCAGAGAAUGGUGCUUGCAUGCUGCUUAUCACUUCUAUAGACUGUGUCCAUCUCCCAAGUAAAUACUGAUGCAAAAAUUCCAUUUUCCCCAUCUCUUUCAGCUCAUCAAUUUGAUCUUCAAGAGGACCAUUUUUGUCCCCUGCAAUCCUCAUGCUCUUAAUACAACCCUUGGGAUUCUACUUCACUUUGUCUGGUAGAGCAACCUCAUGCCUUUUAUCCCUCCUGCUAUGUCCUGCCACUGCUUUCUUAGUCUUGAGGUCCUCCGUUGGUUGGGGUCGACCGUGGAUGUUGUGUCCCAGCUAUCUAUGUGAUGCACAAGCCAGGGCAGUGCAGUAUGGAGAACAAGCUGUUGCCCACGUUAGCAGGCUCCCCCUCUUCAUGUAGUUGAUGAAUCCAAAGGAACUACAGAGACUGAUACAGUUUGGCACUGGCAGCAUCGAGUUGCCAGUCGGUGUUGAACUCAAUGUAAGACUGCCUUAGGGACUCCAGUUCAGGAUUUUCCUCAAUGUUUACUCCCAAAGCCUUCCCCAGGAGUGGGUCUUGCCUCAAGGCAGCAGAGAUUUGAGGUCAUUUUUCCUUCUGGAUGAGCUGCCAAGCACAGCUGACGAAGUGACUGAUUUUAAGAUGUCAAUAACCCACCUUUGCCUCUUCUCCUGUCAGUAGAAACGAUUCCACUGGGCUUAGUUAGCUAAACCAUAUGUGAAGGCCAGGACUUGCUUGUUGGAGGCUAUUUGAGAUGCAUGCCAUUGGGAGCAUUUAAACCUCUUCUGCCUCCUCUCCAAAGCCUCAACAUCCUAUCUAUAGUAGGGCAACCAGAACUCAAAGGGUGGCCUAGCCAGAGUUUUAUAAAAUUGCAAUGUAAUCUCCUGACUUUUGAACUCAGUGCCUCAAUUAAUAAAACCAAACAUUCCACAAGCCUUCUUAACCAAUUUAUUGACCUGUGUAGACGCUUUCAAGGGGCUAUGAACUUGGAUCCCAAGAUCUCUCUGCUCAGCAACACUGUUUAGGAUUGUACCUUUAACAGUGUACUGUCUCCUUGCAUUUGCCCUACUGAGAUGCAACACUUCACAUUAUCUGAGUUAAACUCCAUCUGUUAUUCCUCUGCCCAUAUCUGUAAAUUAUCUAUAUUGCACUCUACUUUUUGCAAGUCAUUUAUAUACAACAGAGGUCCCAGCACAUCUCUGCGGAACUCCACUAAUUACAAACCUCCGGUUCGAGUAAGUCUCUUUGACCACUUCCCUCUACUAUGCGCAAGACAUUUCUAAAUCCAAAUAGCCAAUUUGCUGUGGAUCCCAUGAAUCUUAAUCUCCCGGAUUAGCCUCCCAUGAGGGAUUUAUCAGAUGCCGUACUAAAAUCCAUGUAGGAAGCAUCCACUACCCUGCCUUCAUCAAUCUCUCUCGUCACCUUGUCAAAAACCUCAAUCAAGUUUGUAACCCACACCUUGCCACACAAAGCCAUGCUGGCUCUCCCCAAUUACGCCAUGGCUUUCCAAAUGCUCAUAUAUCCUAUCCCCGAGAAUUUUCUCCACAAACUUCCCUAGAACUGACAUGAAGCCCACUGGUCUAUAUUUCACAGGAUUUUCCUUCAUCCCCUUCUUAAAUAGAGGUACAGCAUUAGCCAGUUUUGCCAGUCCUCCAGGACCUUGCUUGUGACACAAAGAUACUGGUCAAGGAUCAAGCAAUCUUGUCUCUUGCCUCCUUCAAUAUUCUGGGUAAAUCCCAUCAGGCCCUGAGAACUUAUCUACCUUAAUACUCAUUAGAAAGCCCAAUACUUCCUCCUUCUUGACCUCUAAAUACCCUAAAAUAUUUAUACACAGCACUGAUCUCCUGGUCCUCCAUAUUAUUUUCCUUGUUAAAUACUGAAGCAAAGUACUCAUUUAGUAACAUCCAAGCAAAUGUUCCCCCCUUUAUCCUUGACUGGCCCUACCCUCUCCUAAGUUAUCCUUUUUCUCUUGAUGUAUGAAUCUAAUUCCUUGGGAGCAUUCAGAUUGGCUGCAUCACUAGUAUAGGGUUAGUGGGGCUGCUGCACAGCAUCGAAGUAAGUUGCAGAAACUUGUAAAAUUAGUCAACUCUGUCAUGGGUAAUAGCCUCCAUAGUAUCCAAGACUUUGUCAAGGAGUGGUGCCUCAGGAAGGAGGUGUCCAUUAUUAAAGAUCCCUACCACCAAAGACAUUUAUCAUUGUUACUAUCAGGAAAGAGGUACAACAAGCUGGCGGAGCUCAGCAGGUCAGGCAGCCUGACCUGCUGAGUUCCUCCAGCUUGUCUGUGUUGCUUUGAUCCCCAGCAUCUGCAGUGUACUUUGUGUUAGGGAAGAGGUACAGGAGACCGAAGGCCCACACUCAGUGAUUCAGGAACAGCUUCUUCCCCUCUGCCAUCUCAGAUUACAAAGGAAAGCUCUCCGGCUCUGCUCAUGGUGAUGCCAAGCUAGCCAAAGAGCUAAACGGCUUUUUUGCUCGCUUUGAUAAGGACAAUAAGGAGCCAGUGAUAAGGGUCUUAACAUCAGAUGGAAGAUCUGCACUGACACUGGACAUACAGGAGGUGAGGUGUGAAACAUUUCCAUAACAGCAAUGCACACAGAGCAGUGUGACCAGACAGGACCUCAGGGACUGCACCAAACAGCUGUCAAAAGUUCUGAUGGUAUUUACACCCUCUCACUGUCCCAGGCUAUGGUUCUGGCAUGUUUCAAAGCAGCACCCAUCAUGCUAAUCCCUAAAAUGUCAGUGGCAACGUGCCUUAAUAACUACAGAUGCUAUGCUCACUCCCAUAGUUGCCAAGUGCUUGGAAAGAUUGGUCAUGUCCCACAUCAAGGACAUAAUAAUCCUGGCUACCCUGGACCAGCCCCAGUAUGCGUACAAGGUGAAUAGAUCAACUGAAGGUGCCAUUUCUAUCACCCUUCAUAUUGUCUUGGAACACCUGGAGCACAAAGACAGCUACAUCAGGAUGCUUUCCACUGAUUAGCACUUGGCCUUUAACACCAACAAGCUGGCUGUCAAGCUUCAUAAUUCAGGUCUUGGCACAUCAUCCUGUAAUUGGAUCUUGGACUUCCUCACUAAUCGUAUCCAGGUAGUGAAACUAGGCAAGUGCAGAUCACUCCUCACCCCCCGGACAGGAAUGUGUACUGAGCCCAUUUCACUACUCUGUUUUCACCUGUGACUGCAAUCCUGCUCAUGCUACAAACUCAGUCAUCAAAUUUGCAGAUGACACAACUGAGAUUGGCCUCAUCACAGACUAGUAACGGAUCUGCAUGUAGGGAAGAGGUAUGAAACUGCCCAAUUGGUGCUGGAACCUCAGCCUAUCACUCAAUAUCAAGAAGACAAAAAAAAUGAGAGUUGACUUCAGGAAGCCGCACUGUUGAUGAGCAAUGGGGUAGGGGAAAAGGCCUCCAGUUUCAAGUUUUUGGGGAUGAACAUCACCAAGGAGCUCACAUGGUCGUCAACACCACUUCAACAGUAAAAAAACAACAGCAACUCUACUAGCAACGCACAAAACGCUGGAGGAACGUGCAGGUCAGGCAGCAUCUGUGGAAAAGAGUAAAUAGUCAAUGUUUCGGGCCAAGACCAUUUAUCAGGAAUGUUUACUCUUUUUCACAGAUGCUGCCUGACCUGCUGAGUUCCUCCAGCAUUUUGUGUGUUGCUCGGAUAUCCAGCAUCUGCAGACUUUCUCAUCUUUGAGCAACUAUAGUACCUGAGGUGCUUAUUGAGAGCUAAUCUGCCCCAAAAAUUGCCGGCCAACUUUUAUUGAUGUGUGAUAAAGAACAUACUAUCUACAUCCACUUUAAAUAUACCCAAUGACUUGGCCUUCACAGCAAUGAAUUCCACAGAUUCCCCACCCUUUGGGUAAAGAAAUUCCUUCUUACCUCUGUUUAAGAUGGACAUUUCUCCAUUCUGAUGUUGUUCCCUUUGGUCCUAGACUCCCCCCCCCCCCCCACCAUAAGAAACAUCCUUUCUACUUCAAUAUUCAAUAGAUUUCAGUGACUCGGAGCUGGCUGUGGUCGGAGCUCCCAAAGUGCUGUAUCGGCAAGCUGCGGUUUUUCUUCCUUUUACCGUAUGCAUGGGCUGUCGGGACUUUGAGACUUUCUUUUAAACUGUGCCAUGGACUGCUCUUUAUCAGAUUACGGUAUUGCUUUGCACUGUUGAAACUAUGUGUUAUAAUUAUGUGGUCUUUGUCAGUUAGUCUUUUAUCAAUUAUGGUAUUGUCUGCACUGUUGAAACUAUAUGUUAACUAUAACUAUACGUAACUAUGUGGUUUUGUGUAGGUCUUGUAGCUUUAGGUUUGUCUGAUGGGUUUGUAGGUCCUUUCCGGGGAAUGUGCUAAGACGGUAGCACAAUAUCGAUAAGCAGCAGCCUCUCCGGACUCUGGAUUGGGGACUACCAAACGUUAUGUGGUUUUUCUUGUGUGGUCUGUUUGGUGCUUUUUCGUGAUAUCAUUCCAGAGAACGUUGUCUCAUUUUUUAACUGCAUUAUAUUUGUGGUUUAUAAAUGACAAUAAUCUGAAUCUGAAUCUGAGAUCCUCCUCAUUCUUCUAAACUCCAGUGAGUACAAGCCCAGAGCCAUCAGACACUCCUCAUACAUUAAUUCUCUCAUUCCCAGAAUCAUUCUCAUGAACCUCUUCUGGACCUUCUCCGAUGCCAGCACAUCUUUUUUAGAUAAGGAGCCCAAAUUUGCUCACAAUAUUCCAAAUGUGGUCUUAUAAAGCCUCAGCGUCAGUGUGCAUCCUUGCUUUUAUAUUCUAAUCCUCUUGAAAUGAAUGCAUGCUAACAUCACAGUAUGCAAGACAAACUUUUCAGUGUAUCUUGGUAUAUGACAAUAAUAAAGCAGUUUAGGAAAACUUGUGGCCUCAUGGCUAUUGGUACUGGUCCUUGCAUGAGGAGGAGACCAGUCCUCAGGUUUCAAUCACACUCAGGGUUCAGGUCCAGACCAAUAAUCUAUUCCCAAACUUUGAAUGCAAAUUAAAUUACCUUUUUUGAGUAAGUGUUAGCUACUUAAGAGUCAGAUGGUGGGUAUGUGCAGUGGGUUGUCAGCAAUGGUGAUGGAGGCAGAUACGAUAGGGUCUUUUAAGAGAUUCUUAGAUAAGUACAUGGAGCUUAGAAAAAUAGAGGGCUAUGUGGGAGGGAAAUUCUGGGCAGUUUCUAGAGCAGGUUACAUGGUCAGCUAACAUUGUGGGCCGAAGGGCCUGUAAUGUGCCGUAGAUUUCUAUGUUUCUGUGUUGAAGAACUUAGAAUAAAAAAAUGUAAAUCUCCUCUCUCAGCUGAAAGUUAUGCCUGCUAGUAUUUGACAUUUCCACUCUGGAUGCCUGCAAGAAAGUGUAACAGUUAGUGUGAAGUGUGAAGCUACUACAGUCAGGGUACGGAGUUCAAUUCUGGCAUCCUAUGUAAGGAGCUUGUAGGGUUCUCUCCGUGAACCAGUGCGUUUCCUCUCACAGUCCAAUGACAUACCAGCUACACAUACAACAAGCUGGAGGAACUUAGCAGGUUGGGCAGCAUCUGUAGAAACGAACAGUCAACGUUUCGGGCUGAGACCUUUGCAAAACGUUGACUGUUCAUUUCCAUGGAUGCUGCCUGACCUGCUGAGUUCCUCCAGCGUGUUGUACAUGUUGCUUUGACCACAGCGUCUGCAGUGUACUUUGUGUUGACAUACUGGCUAGUAGGUUAAUUGAUCUUUGUAAAUUGUCCUGUGAUUAGGUCAGGUGGGUUGUUGGACCAAAAGGGCCUGUUCCGUGCCAUAUCUAUAAAUAAUAAGAAUUAAUCUCAGGGUAGUACAUGGUGGCACGUAGAUAAUAAAUUUAAUUCAAAACCAUGAAUAACGCUGACUUUCAAAACUACAGAGAAUUUCACUUCCCAUCCUCAGUCUCACAUUCCAGUGGGUUUUACUAGUUCAUCCUCUCUCGGCCUUUCUGUUAGUGGAGAGGUUGUGGAGGCAGCUGUUGGUAAGACCUCAGACAAAAUCAGGAAUCAAAAUGUUGAGCCUGGUGUGACUAGUGUCCUGAGCUGCGUACAUUUCAAUGCAAUUCAAUAGGAAAGACAGAUGUCAGUGCUGAAGGUGAGGUAACUGGUUUACAAACAGAGGCAAUGUGUAGCAAAGAGAGAUUUUGAUAGGGCAACAUUGCACAACAGGAUGAGUUGCAACAUAAAAGGCAGACAAAAUCGAAUAGGGUGAAUGCAGGACUGUAAGUGUUAUAUUUGAAUGCACGCAAUAUGCAGAAUAAGGCAGAUGAACAUGUAGCACAGUUAGAAAUUAGCAAGGACCCAGGGUUGAGAUUUUUGAUUGGAGAAAGGCUAACUUUGAGGAGAUGCGAAAGGAUUUAGAAGGAGUGGAUUGGGACAAUUUGUUUUAUGGGAAGGAUGUAAUAGAGAAAUGGCGGUCAUUUAAAGGUGAAAUUUUGAGGGUACAGAAUCUUUAUUUUCCUGUUAGGUUGAAAGGAAAGGUUAAAAGUUUGAGAGAGCCAUGGUUUUCAAGGGAUAUUGGAAACUUGGUUAGGAAAAAGAGAUAUCUACAAUAAAUAUAGGCAGCAUGGAGUAAAUGAGGUGCUCAAGGAAUAUAAAGAAUGUAAGAAGAAUCUUAAGAAAGAAAUUAGAAAAACUAAAAGAAGAUAUGAGGUUGCUUUGGCAAGUAAGUUGAAAAUAAAUCCGAAGGGUUUCUACAGUUAUAUUAAUAGCAAAAGGAUAGUGAGGGAUAAAACUGGUCCCUUAAAGAAUCAGAGUGGACAGCUAUGUGUGGAGCUGAAAGAGAUGGGGGAGAUUUUGAACAAUUUCUUUUCUUUGGUAUUCACUAAGGAGAAGAAUAUUAAAUUGUGUAAGGUAAGGGAAACAAGUAGGGAAGUUAUGGAAACUGACGAUUAAAGAGGAGGAAGUACUGGCGCUUUUAAGGAAUAUAAAAGUGGAUAAAUCUCUGGAUCCUGACAGGAUAUUCCCUAGGACCUUGAGGGAAGUUGGUGUAGAAAUAGCAGGGGCUCUGACAGAAAUAUUUCGAAUGUCAUUAGAAACGGGGAUGGUGCCAGAGGAUUGGCGUAUUGCUCAUGUGGUUCUAUUAACCUAGCAAUUAUAGGCCCAUCAGUUUGACGUCAGUGCUGGGUAAGUUAAUGGAAAGUAUUCUUAGUGAUGGUAUAUAUAAUUAUCUGGAUAGACAGGGUCUGAUCAGGAACAGUCAGCAUGGAUUUGUGCGUGCAAGGUCAUGUUUGACAAAUCUUACUGAAAUUUUUGAAGAGGUUACAAGGAAAGUUGACGAGGGUAAAGCAGUGGAUUUUGUCUAUAUGGACUUCAGUAAGGCCUUUGACAAGGUUCCGCACGGAAGGUUAGUUAGGAAGGUUCAAUCAUUAGGUAUUAAUAUUGAAGUAGUAAAAUGGAUUCAACAGUGGCUGGAUGGGAGAUGCCAGAGUAGUGGUGGAUAACUGUUUGUCAGGUUGGAGGCCGGUGACUAGUGGUGUGCCUCAGGGAUCUGUACUGGGUCCAAUGUUGUUUGUCAUGUACAUUAAUGAUCUGGAUGAUGGGGUGGUAAAUUGGAUUAGUAAGUAUGCAGAUGAUACUAAAGUAGGUGGCAUUGUGGAUAAUGAAGUAUGUUUUCAAAGCUUGCUGAGAGAUUUAGGCCAGUUAGAAGAGUGAGCUGAGCGAUGGUAGAUGGAGUUUAAUGCUGGUAAGUGUGAGGUGGUACAUUUAGGUAGGAAUAAUCCAAAUAGGACAUACAUGGUAAAUGGUAGGGCAAUGAAGAAUGCAGUAGAACAGAGUGAUCUAAGAAUAAUGGUGCAUAAUUUCCUGAAGGUAGAAUCUCAUGUGGAUAGGGUGGUGAAGAAAGCUUUUGGUAUGCUGGCCUUUAUAAAUCAGAGCAUUGAGUAUAGGAGUUGGGAUGUAAUGUUAAAAUUGCACAAGGCGUUGGUGAGGCCAAAUUUGGAGUAUUGUGUACAGUUCUGGUCACCAAAUUAUAGGAAAGAUGUCAACAAAAUAGAGAGAGUACAGAGGAGAUUUACUAGAUUGUUACCUGGGUUUCAGCACCUAAGUUACAGAGAAAGGUCUUUAUUCUUUGGAGCAUAGAAGGUUGAGGGGGGACUUGAUAAAGGUAUUUAAAAUUAUGAGGGGGAUAGAUAGAGUUGACGUGGAUAUGCUUUUUCCAUUGAGAGUAGGGGAGAUUCAAACAAGAGGACAUAAGUUGAGAGUCAAGGGGCAAAAGUUUAGGGGUAACACGAGGGGGAACUUCUUUACUCAGAGAGUAAAUGAGCUGUGUGUAAUAAGCUUCCAGUAGAAGUGGUAGAGGCAGGUUUGGUAUUGUCAAAGUCAAAGAGAGGGAGCAUAAUAGAACAAAAUUAGUGGGAAGUCAGAGGAUUGGAAAGCUUCUUAAAACCAGCAGAAGACAACUAAAAAGGUCAUAAAGAAGGCAAAGAUGGAAUACAAAGGUAAACAAGCCAAUAAUAUUAAAGAGGGUACCAAAAGUUUCUUCAGAUACAUAGUGUAAAAGAGAGGCAAGAGUGGAUAUUGGACCACUAGAAAACAAUGCUGGAGAGGUAGUAAUGAGGGACAACAAAAUGGCAGAUGAACUUAUUCAGUAAGUAUUUUGCAUCAGUCUUCACUGUGGAAGACACAAGGAGUAUGGUGGAAGUUCCAGUUAUCAGGAAUCAUGAAGAGUGUGAAGUUCCCAUUAGUAGGGAGAACGUUCUUGGGGAACUGAAAUCUGAAGGUAGAUGAGUCAGCUGGAUAAGGUGGCGUGCACUCAGGAUUCUGAAAGAGGGUGGCUGAAGAGAGCAUGAGGACGUUAAUAACGAUCUUUCAAGAAUCACUAGACUCCGGAAUGUUCCAGAAGAUUAAGUCUCUGGAGUGUUCCAGAAGAUUAAGUCUGAAGUGUCACUAAGGACUUCAAGAAGUGAGAGAGGCAGAAGAAAGGAAAUAUAGGCCAAAUAGUCUGACCUCAGUGGUUGGGAAGAUGUUGGAGUUGAUCAUUAAAGAUGAGGCCUCAGGGUACUUGGAGGCACAUGAUAAAAUAGCCCAUAGUCAGCAUGGUUUCCUCAAGGGAAAAUCUUGCCUGACAAAUCUGUUGGAAUUGUUUGAAGAAAUAGCAAUCAGUAUAGACAAAGGAGAAUCAGUUGAUGUUGUGUACUUGGAUUUUCAGAAGGCCUUUGAUAAGGUGCCACACACAAGGCUGCUUAACAAGCUAUGAACCCAUGGUAUUACAGGAAAUAUUCUACCAUGGAUAAAGCAGUAGGAGUCAAAGUGAGGGAAUAAAGGGAGUCUUUCCUAGUUGGCUGCCAGUGACAAGCAGUGUUCCACAGGAGUUUGUGCUGGGACUGAUUCUUUUUACGUUAUAUGUCAAUGAUUUGGAUGAUGGAAUUGAUGGCUUUGUUGUGAAGUUUGCAGAUGAUAUGAAGAUAGGUGGAGGGGUAGGUAGUUUUGAGGAAAUAUGGAGUCUACAGAAGGACUUAGACAGAUUAGGAGAAAUGGCAGAUGGAAUACAGUGUUGGGAAGUGUGUGGUCAUGCACUUUGAUAGAGAAAUGAAAGGGUUGACUAUUUUCUAAAAGGAGAGAAAAUACAAAAAAUGAGAAGCAAUGGGACUUGGGAGUCCUUAUACAGGAUUCCCUAAAGAUUAAUUUGCAGGCUGAGUCUGUGGUGAGGAAGGCAAAUGCAAUGUUAGCAUACAUUUUAAGUGAACUACAAUAUAUAGGCAAGGAUGUAAUGUUGAGACUUUGUAAAGAACCGGAGAGGCCUCACUUGGAGUAUUGUGAGCCUUCUGGCUCUUUUCUUCAAAAGGAUGUGCUGAAACCAGAGAGGAUUCAAAGUAGGUUCAAGAAAAUGAUUCCAGGUUUGGCAGAUUGAAUGGCUUGUCAUAUGAAGAGUGUUUGAUGGCUCUGGGCCUAUAUUCAUUAGAAUUCAGAAGAAUGAGGGGUGACCUCAUUGAAUGGUGAAAGGCCUUGAUAGAGUGGAUGUGGAUAGGAUGUUUCCUAUGGUGGGAGAGUAUAAGACAAGAGGACACAGCCUCAGAAUAGACAUGUGUCCUUUUAGAACAGAAUUGAGGAGCAAUUUCUUUAGGCAGAAAGUGCUGAGUCUGUGGAAUUCUUUGCCACAGGAAGCUGUGAACCCCAAGUCUUUAUGUAUAUGUAAGGCAGAAGUUGAUAGAUUAGUAAUUAGUCAGAGCAUGAAGGGAUAUGGGGAGAAGGCAGGAGAUUGGGGCUGAGGGGGAAAUGGAUCAGCCUUGAUGGAAUGGUGGAGCAGACUCCAUGGGCCAAAUGGCCUGAACUCUCUACUAGGCCAUUAGAUUUUGAGUGUUGUGGGCUUGAAGUUUUAUGUUGAGACCCGCAGUCACUGGCAAAAGACUCAGAUUCACAGCUUGAGAACUGUAGACCAUUGUCCGAUACACUUGCCAUGGAACUUCAUACCUCACAAACACAACUUUCAGGAAGGUGAUGACUGCUCUGCUGGAUGUUGAUUGUAGUGGUGAAGCCUCUGGGAAAUUGGAAAAGUAGUCUGUUACACCAGUGGCUCUUCCCAUUAUAAACAGUCUUGCUUGCUGCUAUGGUCUGUAGGUAGGGCAUAUUUCACAUCUGGCUGAUGUCUUGGUUCAUUCUUGGCCAGUACAUCACUUCAUGAGAUCUACAUUUACAUUUUUCCUCACCAAGAUGCCCUUUGUGUAUUUUCUGGAGUAUUUCCUCGCAUGCCAACACUGAAAUCACAAACUUUGUCCCCUCGAAGACCAGAUCUUCCACGACUGACAGUUCAGCUCUUCAUGGAGUUCAGUCAGGGUAGACUCCACUGUAUGUCUGUAGAAGUCUGUCAGGGUUUUAGAUGAUGCAUAAACUUCUAGAGACGUAGAGGUCAACAACAGAGGACUUGCCACCAAACUUUCGUACAACAUUGGAACUGUACUUAGCCUCACAGUCAUAGGUAUAAAGCACACAUGCCAACUACAUUUGGCAAUACCCAGAGUAUGGGAGACCCUUUCACUUAGAGACUGGCCAUUGGUGAUUUCUUAUCAUUAAACCUCUUUGAGUAAGACAAAAAUAUUGACAAGUAGAAGGAGAAAACAAAAAGACAGGAGGAGGGAUCUUUUACAAUACAGUGUGUUAUUACAAUGCAGAAGUCAAGUCAGAGAACAAAGCUGGAGUGAGCCAGCAAAUGGUUUCUCUUGCAGUGACAGCAACAACCAAGCAGUUCAUUCCUACCAUGAUCUUAUCAGGGGUUAAUGAUCACCAUGUCAGCCCACAUAAUACAGAUCCCCCAGAAACCAGCUGUGCGUUUCCAUGUCAGUUGUGUAUUUAGCACACAGUCGCAAAGCAGACACGCUUUUAACCGCGAAUGUAAGGUCUUCACACUUUAUCCUGCGCUUCAGUGCUUUCCUCUAAUUGUGCGCUGCAAAGCUUUUCCAGCCAAGGGGGGACGGCUGUAAUGUGCCCUCCUGGAAAGCAGCGUGUUUGUUUUCUUCAGGGAGAAGUGCUUCCUUGUCCUUUCUUCUGUGCCUUGGAGUAAGUGGGGGGGGGGGGGGUGAGAUCCUGGACUGCUCUUUGCUUCUCUUCUACUUUGAUUUGUUUGGAGACAAUGUGCAGAAUAGGAGAAUAGGCCCUUCUGAUCCACUAGCCGCACUGCCCGGCAAUCUCCCAGUCUAACCCGAGCCUAGCAACAGAAUAGUUUACAAUGACCAACUAACCUACUAACCGGUGCGUCUUCGGACUGUGGGAGGAAACCAGAGCACCUGGCGGAAACCCACACACUCGUGGGGAGAACGUGCAAGCUUGCUUACAGAGGAGGUUCAAGUGGAACUCCGAACUCCAAGUUGUAACAGCAUUUGCUAACUACUACGCUACUGCAGUGCCACAUGUGAGAUUUGUUCUUGGUAUACUUUUAAAUAUUGUUAUAUAAGUUUAAUAUAUUUCUUAUUGUAACUUGUAAUAUUAGCUUAUCUACUGCACUGUACUGCUACCAAAAAGCAACAGAUAAAGCUGAUUCUGGUCUCAGAAUGCUUUCCAUCAUCUAUAGAGAAAAUGCAGUCAUCUUGCCCUUGGACAAACUCCCUUCUCCCUCACCCCACAGCACAGCACUGCUGGCAAACAUUUAAUUGAAUAUAAGGGCAGGUUUAAGCCUGCUCUCAGUGAAACAGACUGCAAUCUGUUUAUUGAUCUUUGAAAGGACUACUGCUGACCCUUGUUUAAGUCCAAGGUUUGUGGAUGUGCUGUUACAGAAUAACCUUUGUUAAAUGCCUUCAAUGACAUGUCAUUUGUAUAGUCUGAUUAGUUAAAACCAGAGCUGGGUUUGUGGCUGCAGUGGGCAGGUUACUCACUCUGUACCUCAAGAUUCAAGUUUAUUUGCACGUGUACAUUAAAACUGACAGUGAAAUGCUUUCUUUGUGUUAACGAGGGUGUGCUGGGGGGGGGGGGGCCGCAAAUGCCACCACGCCUUCCAACGCCAGCAUAACAUGCCCAUGAUGCUCGGCAGAACAGGGCAAGCAACAGCUAAGCAAGCCCCCACUCCUCUCUCCCAGCUAUGAACAUACACCAGCCUCUGACCCCAAGAUGGUCUCUAUUCUAUGACCUCCAGCAGAUCCAGAUUGAGAGGACUGGAUCGUUGACUACCCCAGCAAGCUCACCAAGAUUCGCAGACUCAGUGCUUGGGCUAACAGGCCCUGGCUUCCAAUUCUCCCCUUGGGCCUCUUGGACACAGGUGUGGAACUUAAAAAUGUCCCCUGUCCUUCCUGUAACCUGGUGCAUCUUGCAGACAGUUUGCAUACAGUCAGGCUAGACAGUGAAGCUAUGCAGAGUUAAGUAUUCUAAGCUUAUACAUAAAUGUUGGCCAUUCAGAUGACACACUGAAGAGUGCAUCAUGUCAGCUAAACUCCCAGAAUUGAAGGAAGCUAUAAUUAGUGCCUUUGCAUUAAUGUUAACAUUGAGAUUUUUAAAAAAAUAGUAGUAACAAAGUAAUUUACUUUUACUUUUUGGUUUCCACAAACAUACUACAUCUGUGGUACAAGGUCAGGUAAAGGCAGGGGUGGGGGUGUUGCUACACACCCAACAUUACCUCAGUAGAUUAUCUGGUUAUCAUCAGGGACAAUGCUGUGUGCAAAUUCCCAUAACACAGCACCAUCAUUACAAUGCUUCAAGGGAUAGUUAAUUGACUGGCAAAGCAUUUUUAAGAUCUUGGAAAUUGUGGAACAUACAACUUAGAGCAUACAACAGUACAGGCCCUUUGGCCCACAAUGUCGUGCCUAUCCUUUAACCUGCCCUAAGAUCAAUCUAACCCUUCUCUCUAUUGUCCUGCCAUCCAUUUGCAUAUCCAUGAGUCAGACGUGUCCCUAAUGUCUCUGGCUCUACCACUUACCCUGUUAGCAAGUUCCCUGCACCUACCACUCUCUGUGUAAAGAAAACCCAUCUCUGGCAAUGCCUCUAUGUUUUCCUCCCAACACCCUUAAAACCAUGCCCACUCAUAUUAGCCAUUUCUGCCUGGGCUGUCCACUCUAUCAAUGCCUCUUAUCAUCUUGUAGAGUCAUGGAGAAGUACAGCACAGAAACAGACCAUUUGGCCCAACUAGGUCAUGACGAAAAUCACUUAAACUGUCUAUACCCAACGAUCUGCUCCAUGACCAUCGCCCUCCAUAUCUUUACUAUCCAUAUACCUGCCCAAAAGCCCCUUAACCAUUGAAAUCAAGCUCACCCGGACAUUGUACAGUUCUAUCAAGUCACCUAUCAAGAAAAAAGCCCUAGCUUUCUCAUCCCACUCUAGCCUAGGCAGCAUCCUGGUAAACUCCUACCUCCUCGCUAAACUUUCACGCCCUUCCUAUAGUGAGGGAACCAGGGUGCCUUUCUUAGAAAUCAGAGAGAGUAAAUUCUGCCUGUGCCCAAUUUCUCAUUCAAGGACAGGCAGGGUCUGCUAAAACAAGUGGGUAAUUGUCAGUGAUAGAUGGUAAUAUUGAAUCAAGAAUAUUGGAAAGGUCAUCGGUGUUAUUUGUAGUGAAGGUUGGGCCACAGUGAUUUGUUCCCACAUUUCAUUGUGGUCAUAGAAACCAGGGAUCCCUGGGAAGUAAGGUGCACCACAGAAACAGGCCAUUUGGCCCAUCUAGUCUAUGCUGAACUACUACUCUGCCUGUACCUAGACCAUAGACCCCAUACCCAUGUCCCUCACAUCCAUGUUAAAUGUCGCAAUCAAACGCACAUCCACCACUUCUGCUGGCAGUUCGUUCCCCAUUCUGAGUGAAGAAGUGCCUCCCUUAAGCAUUUCAGUUUUCACCCUUUACCCACAACCUCUGGUUGUAGUCCCACCCAACCUCAGUGGAAAAAGCCUGCUUGCAUUUACCCCAUCUAUACCCUUCGUAAUUUUGUAUAGCUAUCAAAUCACCCCUCAAUCUUCUACACUCCAGGGAAUAAAGUCUUAAUCUAUUUAACCCUUGCCCAUAAACUUACGGAAAGGAAAUCAAUAGGUCAGGUUUGGAAAAUAGAAAGUGUGGUAUUUCUGAUAAUAUUUCAGGAAGGGGAGUAUUUUUAGCAAGCAUAAUCAGAAACAGGAGAAAAUCUGCAGAUGCUGUAAAUCUAAAGCAAUACACACACACAAUGCUGGAGGAACUCAGCAGCACCUAUGGAAAAGAGUACAGUUGACAUUUUGGGCCGAAACCCUUCAUCGCGACUGGAAAGGAAGGCGGAAGACAACAGGAUAAUCAGAGCAGUAGCUGCCUCCCGUCUUGUUCAAGGGGUGAGUUGUUGGGAGUCUUGUAUGGGAGCAGGUUCCACAUAGCCUUGUGCUUUCUGCAUGAAUGAACUCAGCUAAUCUACAUGUGUGAAGGAUUACAAUAGGGCAGCAAAUGAGGAGGAAAUGUUCCUGCACCAGCCUUCUCUCCACCCUCCAUCUGUGGUGAUGUCAGGCCUCAUUGUCACAUAUGUUACCUGUUGCACACUGACCAUCUGUUUACCAAUUUGAUUAAGUGCUCUGGUUGCUAUGGGGACUGAGCCACUGAGAGCAAUGGUAUUGAAAGCAUUUUAUGCUCAGAUUUCACUUUUCCUCAGACAGCGAGUGCAAAGGAAUGGCAGUAAAUGAUGUGUUUUUUUCCACGACACCCCCUCUUGUGAAUGCACUGAAGUGUCACAAUGAUAAGGUGCACUGGUAUCAAUCGCUCCCGGGGCCAAAUAUCCUUCACAGGAUUAUGGCGACUGCUUUCUAAUAAUUGCAUUAGAAGGGGAGCAUUUCUCAGUCAGUGUGUGCAGACCACAAGUAUGUGGGCACCGUGUGUCACUGUGUACUGAGGGUCUACUAGUUCCUGGUACUGUGGAAGACAGACCUGGCCAAGUCAUCGCGCAGCGUCACAAUUAGACAGACAUUGCCGCUCCACCUGUCUUUUGUGGAAGAGUGCUUCCCAAGUCAAGGGUGGCGUGGUAGUUUAGCGUUUAGCGUAAUGGUCUUACAGUGCCGGUGACCCAGGUUCAAUUCAAGCUGGAUGCAGUUUGGAUGUUCCCUUUGUGACUGUGUCUGGGUUUCCUCUGCUUUCUCCAGUAUCAAAGACGUACGGUUCAGGGAGUGAAUUGCUCACAUGGGUGCAGCUGGGCACAGUGGCCUUGUUGGGCUGGAAGGGCACUGCAUCUCAAAACCAAUCAAAUAAUUGUAAAGUAAACUUGAACUUUGAACAUGAAAGUGGAGUACAGGGUUAAUGGUCUGAUUCUUAGCAGUGGGGAGGAACAGGUGAAACUUGGGGUCCACGUCCAUAGAUCGCUCAGAUUUGCUAUGCCUUGAUAUGUUUCAGGCUUCAGGAGUACGAGACCCUGAAGGUCAAUGCAACCAAUGCAAAGACUCUGUGGGGAAGAACCACAUUCUCAACUCUUUAUCCUACCAGGCAUAGAGGGGCAGAAUUCAGACAAUGAAAGCUGAGGGUCAACUAAAAGAUUAAAAACUGACAAAGAUUGUGAAGGAACAAGAUUAAGAGAUAUGGAGUUAAGGAAAUAAACAGGGUUAAGAUCAGUCAGAUCUGGCAGAAUACACUGAAGAUUUAAUGGCCUCCACCUUCUCCUAUGUUCUCCCAAUGAAUUUCACAACAUUGAGGAUAUCUGUUUAGUUGUUUGUGUCUACAGAAAGUAGUGGAAACAGCCCAGUCCCUCACAGGUAAAACCUUCGCCUUGUACUCCUUCAUUUACAAAGAUCCCUGCCACAAAAAACAGCAUCUAUCAUCAAGGACCCUCACUGUUCAGACCACGCUCUCUCCACACUGCUGCCAUGGAGCCUCAGGUCCCACACCACCUGUUUCAGGAACAGUUAAUACCCUUCAGCCAUCAGACUCCUGAACUGGCAUCACUCACCUCAGCACUGAACAGAUUCCACAACUAAAGACUCACUUUCGAGGCUCUACAACUCACAUUUGCGGUAUUAUUUAUUUAUUUGCACAACUUGUCCUCUUUUGCACAGUGGAUGUUUGUCAAUCUGUGUUUGUGUAUAGUUUUUCAUGAAUUCCGUUGUAUUUCUAUAUUUUCCUGUAACUGCCUACAAGAAAUGAAUCUCAAGGAAGUAUCUGGUGACAUAUACGCACUUUGACAAUAAAUCUACUUUGAAAG